ensembl:lncRNA
GUGGUUUAUCCCUCGACCCAUAGAUUGCAGUACAGUGCGUGCUACCUCUAGAAGUUACAGUAUCAUUAAAGACCAUUCACAAUGUGAAGUUUGAACACUUUUUCCUCUCAAAGCGGAAGCCGCAGUCACAUCACGUGCUGCAGGUGUGGGAACGCAAGCGGACGUGACAGCAGGUUUAGAAGGCGAACCGGUGACCAACGGACACAGACAAAUCGACAUAACAAUCAUGGGUGAUUCCAUCUACACGUCUAGACCUGCAGAUACGUUAGGUUUGUAUUUGCUGACUAGACAUUUCCUCCCAUGCACUACAGGCCAAAUGUUUAACGACAUGAGGUGUAACUGUGGAAAAUGGCCGGUCACCCCAGUAAGCUUG